GUGCCAGCCGCGGCGGUAAUACGGAGGGUGCAAGCGUUAAUCGGAAUUACUGGGCGUAAAGCGCACGCAGGCGGUCUGUUAAGUCAGAUGUGAAAUCCCCGGGCUCAACCUGGGAACUGCAUCUGAUACUGGCAGGCUUGAGUCUCGUAGAGGGGUAGAAUUCCAGGUGUAGCGGUGAAAUGCGUAGAGAUCUGGAGGAAUACCGGUGGCGAAGGCGGCCCCCUGGACGAAGACUGACGCUCAGGUGCGAAAGCGUGGGAGCAAACAGGAUUAGAUACCCUGGUAGUCCACGCCGUAAACGAUGUCGACUUGAGGUUGUGCCCUUGAGCGUGGCUUCCGGAGCUAACGCGUUAAGUCGACCGCCUGGGAGUACGGCCGCAAGGUU
rnacentral:rRNA from 1 species